rnacentral:rRNA from 1 species
GAUGAACGCUGGCGGCGUGCCUAAUACAUGCAAGUCGAGCGAACGGACGAGAAGCUUGCUUCUCUGAUGUUAGCGGCGGACGGGUGAGUAACACGUGGAUAACCUACCUAUAAGACUGGGAUAACUUCGGGAAACCGGAGCUAAUACCGGAUAAUAUUUUGAACCGCAUGGUUCAAUAGUGAAAGACGGUGUUGCUGUCACUUAUAGAUGGAUCCGCGCUGCAUUAGCUAGUUGGUAAGGUAACGGCUUACCAAGGCAACGAUGCAUAGCCGACCUGAGAGGCUGAUAGGCCACACUGGAACUGAGACACGGUCCAGACUACUACGGGAGGCAGCAGUAGGGAAUCUUCCGCAAUGGGCGAAAGCAUGACGGAGCAACGCCGCGUGAGUGAUGAAGGUCUUCGGAUCGUAAAACUCUGUUAUUAGGGAAGAACAUAUGUGUAAGUAACUGUGCACAUCUUGACGGUAACUAAUCAGAAAGCCACGGCUAACUACGUG